AGAUAUUCUCGACAAGCGUUCUAUCAUUGUCGAUAUGGUUCAAUUCGAAAAUAGGGAUUAACACGAGAAUGAGUCAUUUGAUGACUUUCUUACGUCGCUGAAGGAAUUAUCUGGGAGAACGGAGCUUUGUAAAAGUUGUGUCAAUGAUAGAUUAGUCUUGAGAAUUGUUGUAGGUUUACGAGAUGAAAACACGAGGCGUCAUAUUUUCGAAAUGAAGAUUACCUCCUUGGAAGAAAUUACUCAAGUUUGUAGGGGAAGAGAGUUUGGUCUUUUCAAUGAAGAAGUUUUGAAAUCCAGAAGAUCCGUUUCAAUAGUCAAAAAGAAGUCAGGAGAUCCAAAGAAGUUCAGGGCCCGAUCAAAUUCAAGUCAACUGAAUUGUGGAAGAUGUGGUUCAAAUGCUCAUGAUAGAGGAGAAGAAGGUAGGGCUUUUAAUCAGAAAUGUUUCCUUUGUGAAAAGCUCAAGACAAAAAGCACCCACUAUCAUGUUGAAUGUCGAAGUACGUACGAAAAACUCUACAAGUAGAUGUGAUUUUAAGGUUAUCCCAGAUACGGGAUGGAGAAGAAAUCGUUCAAAGCAUUGAAGUGGAAGAUCUAUAUGGGGUAUCAUCAAUCUCAAUCACCGGAACUAGUGGAGCUCGAAUUAAAUGUAUUGGGAAGGUUAAAGCAUUUGAAUUUGUGUUCCUUCUUUUCAACAUGUUUAACUUUUAUUUCCUCUUCAGUUUUAGAUUUAUUUAUCACUUCAUACUCACUUCACUCAUGCAUCACCAUCGGAGAGGAUCUUCUCAUCAAGAUGUAAAACUAUUUAGUCUGCAAUUAUAAUAUAAAAUAAUUGAAACAAUACAUCAAAAUUUUAUUUAUUUCUUAAGUGGUUUGCUAUUAAUGAUAUUUCUCCUGAGGCAAAAAAUCUAAAGGAAAUAAAUACCAACAUACAAAUCCAACUUGGAGUCCAUGAAGCAGAAACUAAGGAUUUAAAGAAGAAGUUGAAGGAGAAAGAUGUCAAAAUUUGGGACGCAGAAUCAAAGUUUUAAAUCUUUAAAAAUGUGCCUCUCUUCGGUAUUUAAUUCAAACCAUAUAAAAAAAUUUAUGUUGCAAGUCUUCACAUUCCAAAAUCCCCCUUUGAUCUAAUAAAACCAAUGAGUUAAGAUUCGCUGAGGAUCUAUAUGUUGUCCAAUUAAUCUAUUGCGCCUAGAACUGUUUGGAUCAAUUUGCAAAAAUAGAUGCUUUAUUCAAAUCUUAUGUAAAUCAAUUCAAAAAAAUUGUAAACUCAAUAACUGAAAUAGUGGUUCCAUUAAUUAAGUCGUCUAUAAAGAUCGCCAAAUGUCCUAAAAUUUUAUUUUUAAUAUGUCUAAGUAUGUUAGUAUAAGAAUACACACGCAUUUACGAAUGCAAACUGCGAUUAUCAAAGAAAACAGAAUAGCUUCUUCUACUUUCGGAAAACGAAGAAUUCGUAUGUGAAAUUAAACGAGCGUAUUUUUUAAUAAUAUCUUCGUGGAAAUCUGGAGCUGAACUUUGAAGAUGUGGCGGUUUGAUUUCAUAGGGUGAUGGAGCUUCAGUAAAUUAAUUACCUUCAAUUGGAGUUACCGAUGAAAAUCUAUAUGUAAGUCUAAAUUAUAUAUAAUACCUUCCCCAAAAAUAGAGAAAAUAAAGUAGGUAUGUUAUAAAAUGCCGAUUUACGUAGAGAGAAAAACUUGCAGGAGGAAUGCACGGUAUAGAAGUGUUUUGGGGAUCCUCAUAGAAAUGCCGGCUUUUCGUUACUUAAAUGGGGGAAAUCAAAUUCAUGUUAUUUGUAUUUAAUGUAAAUAAAUUCUUAAUAUUUGACACAGUC
rnacentral:lncRNA from 1 species